AGGUUCAUACGAUUGCACUGCAGCAGAUGUAGAGGUGAAUGACUGGCUGCAGAAGCGAAGAGGAAGCCAAUAAAGUGCCGCCCUUGAGUUAGCACUCCCUGACCCACAAAGAGCUUGCUACUGGAAAAGAAGCUGUUAUCUUGCCUGUGCCUUACCUGUUUGGCUUUCCAGACAUGGAAAUUACUUGACUUUGCCCUGUAUUGAGGGCGGGAUAUUUUGAGAGAGGAGGCUUGCUCCUUCAUCGGUUUCUUUAUUGGUGUCCUUUCAGCAUGAUGCGUGUCUGCCAAAUCAAUACAGGGCUCUGAGGGAGAUAGAUGAAGCAGACAGUGAUUAUAGGACCAUGUUUUAUGUGUUUGCUGCAUUAUUAACCAAGAGAUUUCAUUUCGAAUGCUCCUCUCCUCCUGAAAGGCCUGAGAGCUUAAUUACAGAAGAACAGCCUUGACCAUUGGCUUUUAAUGCAGCCUUGCCUCAGACUACAAAAUUAAAGGCAAUUUUAGUUCACCUCUGUCUUACAUCAACUGUAUAAAACAUUUUGAUUUAAAUUCUGGCCCUGUGCACAAUAAGAGAUGUAACUGAUGCAAACCUGAUGUAAAAAUCCUUCUUCAUGAAAUAAGGAUAAUUUCAGCACUGAGCUUCCCAGAGGUUGCUAAGUUGCUGUGUUAAGGUGAACAUCAGAAGCACUUAAGUUUUUUUUUUUUUUUUUUUUUUAACAUACGUGUCAUAUUAAAUACCCAAUGAAAUCAAGAUUGCAGCUUUGUAGCAUUUAGUUCAUACUGUAUCUGCAAAUUUUUGAAGACGUGUAUUUGCUAAUGCAGGGGUUUUCAGACUUCUUGUGCCACAAGAGAGUUCAGGGCGGUCUGUGCAAAAUUUGAGAGAGAGAGAAAA